rnacentral:rRNA from 1 species
GUCUAUGGCCAUGCCACUCUGAACAAGCCCAAUGUCUAAUCUCGGAAGCUAAGCAGGGUCUGGGCCUGGUUAGUACUUGGAUGGGAGCCCAGCUAGGAGGACCAGGUCCUGCAAGCA